rnacentral:rRNA from 1 species
ACGGGGCGCAGCAGGCGCGAAAACUUUACAAUGCGGGAAACCGUGAUAAGGGGACACCGAGUGCCAGCAUCAUAUGUUGGCUGUCCGGGUGUGUAAAAUACACCUGUUAGCAAGGGCCGGGCAAGACCGGUGCCAGCCGCCGCGGUAACACCGGCGGCCCGAGUGGUGAUCGUGAUUAUUGGGUCUAAAGGGUCCGUAGCCGGUUUGGUCAGUCCUCCGGGAAAUCUGAUGGCUCAACCAUUAGGCUUUCGGGGGAUACUGCCAGACUUGGAACCGGGAGAGGUAAGAGGUACUACAGGGGUAGGAGUGAAAUCUUGUAAUCCCUGUGGGACCACCUGUGGCGAAGGCGUCUUACCAGAACGGGUUCGACGGUGAGGGACGAAAGCUGGGGGCACGAACCGGAUUAGAUACCCGGGUAGUCCCAGCCGUAAACGAUGCUCGCUAGGUGUCAGGCAUGGCGCGACCGUGUCUGGUGCCGCAGGGAAGCCGUGAAGCGAGCCACCUGGGAAGUACGGCCGCAAGGCUGAAACUUAAAGGAAUUGGCGGGGGAGCACAACAACGGGUGGAGCCUGCGGUUUAAUUGGAUUCAACGCCGGA